AUGAAUCUUCGAACUUUAAGAUUUAUGAUUCAAGUGGAAGAAACAAUAACUAUCGGAGUCUCUAACGCAAUUCCAAAAAGAGGAGCGGUUUGGUCUAUGCAGAGAUUAAGAUGGCGAGAGGGAAGCUUGAGUGGAGUUUGUGAGCAUUGCAGAUAUGAUUCUGGUUGUUGUUUUGACAGAGAGAGAUUGUUUGAACAGGAUUUCGACAACAUGCUUGGACUAUUUUGUGCAAAGUUUUGGACAGUGAAGAAGGAAAGGCAAGGUUGA